AAAUUGGUUGGGUGCAUAAUAAUAAAAUCAUGGAUCAUAAAAAAAAGUAAGAUCGGUGUUUAUCAAUAAAUUACUCUAUAAAGUGAUAGAAUUUUUCCAAAAUUUAAAAGUCGAAAUUUGCUUUGCUCAUGAAAAUGGCCAGUUCUAUAAGGUGUAAUAGCUCUUUUCGCUGUGCUCUGACAUUUUUGUAAUGCGGAAAAGCAAACGAAGUUCCUUCCAUUCUCAAGCAAUGAUUGAUAUGAUAUGAUUGUAUUUGAUUGAUUGAUUUACAUUCGACACGUACCGGGCAGAGGCACGUCCUGCCCUUACACUUAUAAGAAUUUACUUCAAAAUGAAACCCAUAUACAAACUGUUGGAUUUCUACUUUCGCUUCUGGCCAUGCCCUGUUUGGCCUGUUGGCCUGUUGGUCGGGAACCACACGAACUGGCAGCUAAUUGCCAGUUGUAUUCCACUCGACAACAAUGCAUUCCCGAAAUCAGAGAAUUGAAAAAAACACAAAAAAACAAUCAACCAUGCCAGUGGCACACAAGACCAAGGAUAUCUCAGCAAUUGCAGCGAACAGUUAUUUAUAUAUCCAUAUUUCACACACUAAACUCUUUAUGUUUAAUCAUUUACACAACUCAACAAUGUAUUUAAUUGUUGUCAAUGCUCAUUUCGGCGGUGAAAAGCACACAAGUACACAAUUGUUGAAUCUGUUCAAUAACAAAUAAUGUUUAAGUUACUUACUUACUUUUCAUGUUAAUUUACGCAUUAAAAUGCAACUUAAAAACGA